CCCCAGAGCAGGCCUGGGCAGUGUCUGGGUGGGGCCUGGGAGCCACAGGAGACGCCCAAAGCCAGGCAGAGCCCGGGGGCGAGGGGGCGGCAGGCAGGUGUAGCGCUGCCCUGGGCGGGCUUGCACCCCCACACCCAAGUGAGCGGCCUGCUCACUCCUCAGCUGCAGGAGCCAGACAUGUGGAGUCCCAGCAGAGGCCAACCUGUGUCUCUUCAUCUCCGUGAGAAAGGUGCCCCCGAAGUGAAAGAGAUGGCCUGGUGGAAAGCCUGGGAGAAUGAAUAAACAGACUAGGUUGAAUCCAUACAAUGGAAUGGUAGCAGACAAUAAAAAGAAAAUGAACUAUUGAUGCCCCCUACUGCACAGCAGAAGCUCUGAAUCGUGUUCCUGAAUGAAAGAAGUCAGGAGUAAUUUUUACAUUUUUGAUACCAGUACUUUGUUAGAUAUAAGUUUGAGUACUCAGUCCUUGUAAGAGACAGAAAAGGAGAGACACACACAGAGGAGAAGGCUAUGGGAGGCUGGAGGCAGAGAUCAGAGCCACGAGCCAAGCUUGGAGCUACUGGAAGCAGGAAAGCAAAGAAGAACCUUGCCUGGAGCCUAAGUAGGGAGCACAGCCCUGUGACACUGUGAUUUCGGACUUCUGACUUCCAGAACCGUGAGAUAAUAAAUUUCUGUUCUUUUAAACCAUGAAGUUUGUGGCAAUUUGUUACGGCAGCCCUAAGAAAAUAAUACAAAUCUUCUUUCACUGUCAAAAGUGCCUGGGUUGGAAUCUAUUGUAAGGACUCCCAGAGCGCUCUCGGGAAAGGAAACAAGAAGCCGGUCCCCUAGGCCUGGGCCUGACUGAGGCCGGGACCAGAGGCUCAGGUGGGGCCCUGGAGGCCAGCAGGAGGUCCCAGCCCAGUCACCAGUACAGGAGAUUGACAGGAAUGAAAGAAAAUGUUUUGAGGGGUGUGCCUUAGGUCACGGGUCCCCAGCAGCCAGCAGCAUCCGGAGGCUAGCUGGGGUCCUGGGUCCUGGCCAUCUCUAGUCCUCAGAGACACAACUGACGUGUGUGUUGGUCCAUCCUCAGGCUCACAGCCCUGAAAUCUCUCUCCUCUGAGACAGAAAAGGAAGUUCAUGUCAGAAUCGGAGCACAGAGAGAUCAUGAAUAAGCUGAUGUCAGUGGCCCACUCACUGCCAACCUUGCUCAGCUCUGAGCAUGAUUAUACCCAAUCAAAGCCUGGAAAAUCAAUGAAUCUGCAGCCCAGGAUACUGGGUACUACAUCCACAGCCCAAAGAGCCUCUCCGGGGAAGGUUGCUGAGAUACUAAGGGAAGGAUACUUUGGAAAGAUGGAGAAGUAAAAAUAUUUCCUACAUCCUUUGUUUUGGAGAGACUAUACCUGUAUCUGGGAUGCACAGGUGAGUUCAAACACCAAGGCGUUUGUGGAUGGUGCCCAGGCUAUACUCGAAGCAGAGCCGUCUCCUUCCCUGAGUGCCCUGCUCCUGAAUGACCAACUGCAGGAGGUGGUGUCAGGCCCUGGGCUGUGCGAGGAAGGGAAGGUAAGACGCAGUGAGCCAGGGAAGGACACAGGACAGGGCUCAUUGAAGCCCUACCCUACAGUGAUACAAAACUGCUGCACAAGCUGGUCCCCAGAGAGCAACAGAGGAAGACUUAGGAGGCAGAGAGACUGGGAACGCCAGUGGGGAUGGGAGGGAAGUCUCCAGCCUGAAAAAGAAAAUGGCCAAUGGAAGAAACUAGGAAAUAAAACAUGGUUGCGAGUAGGGUAUUCCCUACUUCUUCGUAUGAGUCUGGGUUCUAGGAGGUGAAUAUGCAUACAGUCACAUGCUGUGUGACACUUCAGUCAACUACAGACGGUGAUCCCAUUAAAUUAUAAUGGAGCUGAAAGAAUCUUAUCGCCUGGCAACAACCUAGUGCAAUGUAUUAUUUAGGUGUUUGUGGUGAUGCUGGUGUAAACAAACCUGCACUGCCAGUUGUAUAAAAUCUAGCACAUAGAAUUAUGUACAGUGCAUAGUACUUGACAAUGAUAACAAAUGACUGUUAGCAGUUUAUGUAUUUACUAUACUA
rnacentral:lncRNA from 1 species